AUUGAACGCUGGCGGCAGGCCUAACACAUGCAAGUCGAACGAGUGGCGGACGGGUGAGUAAUGUCUGGGAAACUGCCUGAUGGAGGGGGAUAACUACUGGCAACGGUAGCUAAUACCGCAUACCAUCGGAUGUGCCCAGAUGGGAUUAGCUAGUAGGUGGGUUAAAGGCUCACCUAGGCGACGCUCCCUAGCUGGUCUGAGAGGAUGACCAGCCAAACGGGAACGGAGAAAGGGGCCAGAAUCCUACGGGAGGCAGAAGAGGGGAAUAUUGCACAAUGGGCGAAAGCCUGAUGCAGACAUGCCGCGUGUAUGAAGAAGGCCUUCGGGUUGUAAAGUACUUUCAGCGGGGAGGCGUUACCCGAAGAAGAAGCACCGGCUAACUCCGUGCCAGCAGCCGCGGUAAUAC
rnacentral:rRNA from 1 species